rnacentral:rRNA from 1 species
UACGUAGGGCGCAAGCGUUGUCCGGAAUUAUUGGGCGUAAAGAGCUCGUAGGCGGCUUGUCACGUCGGAUGUGAAAGCCCGGGGCUUAACCCCGGGUCUGCAUUCGAUACGGGCAAGCUAGAGUUCGGUAGGGGAGACUGGAAUUCCUGGUGUAGCGGUGAAAUGCGCAGAUAUCAGGAGGAACACCGGUGGCGAAGGCGGGUCUCUGGGCCGAUACUGACGCUGAGGAGCGAAAGCGUGGGGAGCGAACAGG